AUAUAGAUAGGUUCAACAACCAAUGCAUUAUUCGAUCCACACGUACAGAGUUCAAGAAUUACGUCAACAAAAGAAUUACAUAAGCACCAAAUAAAGAAUGAUGAACAAUAAUUGAAUACUUGUAUUAAAAACGGUAAAAAGGCAAAAGAUAUUCUGAUUGGUGUAAAAGGUGAAGCGGAAUACCCGUAGUGUGCCCUCCUCCAUAUCAAAUGCACACAUGACUGUAGUCCAACCCCUUGUAAUGGCCGACCGCCCAUCCUUCAAUGUCUUCAUGAGGACUUUGAGAUACUCAUUGUAAUAUGGGAGAAAUGCAUGUACAUUUGCAUGUCCAACAAUCAUGUAGUUUGAGAGAUGAUUUGAGUAAACUAUGUAUCAUUGUAAAGGAAAAAGAUACGGGCAUUGUUACCUAACAACUCAUUAUGGGCAGUAAAAAGGCUAUAGAGUUUUGAGUUCAUAUAGUGUAGAUCACCGUUGUCUUGGACAAACCAUAAAUAAAUAGUUUAAUUAUCACAUUUUGACCCAUUGUACUAACAAUCUUUAUUAGUUACCUCGCACGAUGCUGGUUCAUGAAUACCUCAUUGUCACAUACGCAAAAAAGGUCUAAGCACGGCUAUUUACCAGUGAAAUAUGUACCUACAAGCAACAAGUAUAUUAGAAGCUAAAUUGCAAUUGCACAAUGAUGUAG
rnacentral:lncRNA from 1 species